AGCAGUAGCCGCGGGAAUACGUAGGUCCCGAGCGUUGUCCGGAUUUAUUGGGCGUAAAGCGAGCGCAGGCGGUUAGAUAAGUCUGAAGUUAAAGGCUGUGGCUUAACCAUAGUACGCUUUGGAAACUGCUUAACUUGAGUGCAAGAGGGGAGAGUGGAAUUCCAUGUGUAGCGGUGAAAUGCGUAGAUAUAUGGAGGAACACCGGUGGCGAAAGCGGCUCUCUGGCUUGUAACUGACGCUGAGGCUCGAAAGCGUGGGGAGCAAACAGGAUUAGAUACCCGAGUAGUCCCUGUCUCUUAUACA
rnacentral:rRNA from 1 species